rnacentral:lncRNA from 1 species
GGUGAACCUCCUGAGUCCUGGCAGUUGCUCUGCCCACGUGAAGCACUAUCAGUAAUUAAAGUGCUUAAGCUACUGAACCCCAGUUUUCUCAACACCCCCAGACUUUCGUGAGGUUACACAAUGACUAUUCAGCUGUGUUACUCUGAAGCAAGUUUGAACCACAGAAGUUCUCUUUUGCAGCUAAAAAUGUCUUUUCCACUGCCAUAAAGACCAGUGCCCCUGGGAACUUUGUGACAGAAGUGUUGGAGUCAGUGGGCUUGGUUGCCUGGACAACUUAGCAAAUGUACCAACUCCACAAACAUCUCCCAAGAUUGAUUUUCAUUGGCCCUAGGGGAAGAUGGUGGAGGACCAGUAAGUCAAAGGUGACCCAAAAGCUCAUACCAGGAGAAGAUUUUCCAAUUCAGAACAUUCAACAGAUGAUCAUUAUAAAGGGAUGUUUUACAGGGAAUUUUGUGAAGACAGGCAUCUCUCAUAGGUACUACUAGUUUCAUACCAUUUUAACCAGGCCUGAUUUGGAAGAGAAAAAUGUUAAUGGAUUGGAAGAUGCAGAAGGAUAGCCCAUACUGGAGAAACAUCAAAUAUAAGCACUCGGAGAUUUCCAGGUGCCUCGUGCCCUCCAGGAUGCUCGUUGGUCCGCUUCUGAUUGUGAACCCAGUUCUUCUCCACCUCGGAGGGGUGAGGAGCUGGGCCUGUGACUCUGUGGAGCAAGGAGGCCAUUUUGAUGAUGUUGAGAAAAUAAAAUUUAUCCUCUAGAUCAACUCUUGGUCAAAUCCUUUCCUUUUUUGUAAAGCUUGGAUUGGUUCAAUCAGAAAGAACACAUUGUAAAACCACAAUGGAAUUGAACUAAAGGGAACUGUCCAUUUGCCCACCUUCCCCUGGCGGUGUAACUGUGUGCAGCCUAUGUCUUGAUCAGGGAGGGGGUGACACAGGCUGCUAAGCUCUACUUGCCCCUGUGAGUAUGAUGUGGCUUAUCAGUGCCUCUCAGCAUCAUUUAGGAGAAGGGCUGACCUCUGGGGAAUUUUGCUACUAAAACUCCUAUCAAUGCCACCUGGCAAUAAUUCUCAGCAGAAAACCAUUCAGUGACGGUCAAAGUGAGACUUGUAUGUGGCAUCCAAGCCCCAGAGAUAAAGGUGGGUCAGAGAAUGACUGUUACAAAAGGAAGGAAAGGAGAGAAGGAAGGAAAGAAGGAAUGGUGAAUUGACAUUUUCUGAGCAUGUGAUAUGUGUCAAACA